rnacentral:lncRNA from 1 species
GAACUGUAGAUGUCAUUUUUGCUCUAAUCUCUGUAAUUGUAAUGUCGUAACCAGCAAACAAAGGAAUUUGUUGUUGUUUUGUUGAUUACAUAAAAUCAUUCGAUAUUGUUAAAAGGCUUAUGUUAUAGUAUAAAUGGUCAAAAAGUGGUAUCAAAGGUAAACUCCUAACUGUUAUUAAAUCUAUUCAUACUAAUAUGUCUACUUGUUUAUGUGGUGAUGGUUUUAAUUCAGAUUACUUCACCAAUGAAUUUGGUUUGAUGCAAGGACAGGUGUUAUCUCCCAUACGUUUUUCAUUUUAUAUUAAUGAUUGUGAAAUGGCUUUACUUAACAGUAAU